rnacentral:rRNA from 1 species
AACGAACGCUGGCGGCAGGCCUAACACAUGCAAGUCGAGCGAGGACUUCGGUUCUAGCGGCGGACGGGUGAGUAACGCGUGGGAAUGUGCCCUUCUCUACGGAAUAGCCCUGGGAAACUGGGAGUAAUACCGUAUACGCCCUAUUGGGGAAAGAUUUAUCGGAGAAGGAUCAGCCCGCGUUGGAUUAGGUAGUUGGUGGGGUAAUGGCCUACCAAGCCGACGAUCCAUAGCUGGUUUGAGAGGAUGAUCAGCCACACUGGGACUGAGACACGGCCCAGACUCCUACGGGAGGCAGCAGUGGGGAAUCUUAGACAAUGGGGGCAACCCUGAUCUAGCCAUGCCGCGUGAGUGAUGAAGGCCUUAGGGAUGUAAAGCUCUUUCAGCUGGGAAGAUAAUGACGGUACCAGCAGAAGAAGCCCCGGCUAACUCCGUG